GUGAAAUGUGCCAGUAAAUACAGAGACCGGGAAAAUGUGGAUUAUCAAAUCAAAUUAUGGACAAUUGGACUCGACAUUGAUCCAUACUAACUAGUAUUGAUUUGGAAAAGUGGAUUUGCCUCAGUCUGAAUAAGUAUAGCAGAGAAUGGAGAUUGGAACAAGACCUGCAGGCAGUAACUACUGCUGUAGACCCAGUCAGCUGCUCCAGGUGUCACCUGGAUGCGCGCUGCGUACACUUUCCACACUUCGUGCUCUGUUUUCCUAAACCCCAAUCUAUUCUCAACGUGACGCCUGAAGUCCCACAGCGCCGACAUCAGCCUCUGCAGAGCGUCGUCACAGACGCGAUGACCCACCUGGGGGAGAGAGGCGGACGCGCACAAAUUGAGGAAGUUCGAUGUCCUGCUGCCGAAACUGUAUAAUGUCAAUCUGGGAAAUGCAGCUAAUGCCGUAAUGAAAUUCAGUUGACCGAGUAGCCAAAAUAUCCAUUUGGGACAGCAGACGAUAAUCUCCCCAUGGCUGCAUCUUAUCAGAAUGAAGCAAGGCACAGAGCUUCCUAAUGAUUUGGCACAACGUUGCAAUCAAAACACACCAAGACCUAAGAUUUCUGGUUAAUGGAGGGGACGCAAAGCAUGUGACGUGGCGUCUCCAGUAACGAACUUGAACAACGAGACACCUGGAGAUUCAUUAAAUAAGACAUAACAUCAGUUUUACAGAU